rnacentral:rRNA from 1 species
UACGUAGGGUGCAAGCGUUAAUCGGAAUUACUGGGCGUAAAGCGUGCGCAGGCGGUUGUGCAAGACAGAUGUGAAAUCCCCGGGCUUAACCUGGGAAUGGCAUUUGUGACUGCACGGCUAGAGUGUGUCAGAGGGGGGUAGAAUUCCACGUGUAGCAGUGAAAUGCGUAGAUAUGCGGAGGAACACCGACGGCGAAGGCAAUCCCCUGGGCCUGCACUGACGCUCAUGCACGAAAGCGUGGGGAGCAAACAGG